rnacentral:rRNA from 1 species
UACGUAGGUGGCAAGCGUUGUCCGGAUUUACUGGGCGUAAAGAGCGCGCAGGCGGUCGUUCAAGUCGCGUGUGAAAGCCCCCGGCUCAACUGGGGAGGGUCACGCGAUACUGAUCGACUCGAAGGCAGGAGAGGGAAGUGGAAUUCCCGGUGUAGUGGUGAAAUGCGUAGAUAUCGGGAGGAACACCAGUGGCGAAGGCGGCUCUCUAGUACGGUACUGACGCUGAGACGCGAAAGCGUGGGGAGCGAACAGG